rnacentral:rRNA from 1 species
UGCGUAGGCGGCUUUCUAAGUUGGAUAUGAAAACUCUGGGCUCAACCCAGAGCCUGCAUCCAAAACUGGAAGGCUAGGGUUCUGGAGGGGAAAGCGGAAUUCCUGGUGUAGCGGUGAAAUGCGUAGAUAUCAGGAGGAACACCGGUGGCGAAGGCGGCUUUCUGGACAGAUACCGACGCUGAGGCACGAAAGCUAGGGGAGCAAACA